rnacentral:misc_RNA from 1 species
AGUGAUAAGCAGCAUAUAAUAAGGCCCCAGAAAUUUGAUGAACCCGACAAUGCCGUAACAGGUAGUGACAAAUUUCAGACCUCCUGUAGACCUGUUCCCUUCAUGUAUCCUUCUCAACAAAUCAGUGCAUUCGCGCUCAGUAUAGGUAGUUGAAUCUUCACGCAUGUGCAGCUCAGAAGGCUCCGUCCUGUCAAUUUUCAACACUCUCCAGUAUGUUCUACUCUUGUCCCUUCCUAUCAUGUAAAACUUCGACAGAGUUUGAUAGAGCCUGAAUUUCUGCAUAAACCCUUUCUGAAUUGGUGAGGGCUGAGCAGGAGAGGAAAAGAGGUCUUGCUCCUGUUGAUGUUGUUGUUUCUCCAUAUCACACGCUGCCAUUGAUAACUAAACUGAUAACCCCCAAUAUGAUACAAUCAACACCCGAGCCCCUGGCUCGGGAACCAACUAUUCCAGCAUUCAAAUCCCAAAAAGAAGGAAAACCCAAAUCCAA